CUCCUCUGACGUUAGCGGCGGACGGGUGAGUAACACGUGGAUAACCUACCUAUAAGACUGGGAUAACUUCGGGAAACCGGAGCUAAUACCGGAUAAUAUAUUGAACCGCAUGGUUCAAUAGUGAAAGACGGUUUUGCUGUCACUUAUAGAUGGAUCCGCGCCGCAUUAGCUAGUUGGUAAGGUAACGGCUUACCAAGGCAACGAUGCGUAGCCGACCUGAGAGGGUGAUCGGCCACACUGGAACUGAGACACGGUCCAGACUCCUACGGGAGGCAGCAGUAGGGAAUCUUCCGCAAUGGGCGAAAGCCUGACGGAGCAACGCCGCGUGAGUGAUGAAGGUCUUCGGAUCGUAAAACUCUGUUAUUAGGGAAGAACAAAUGUGUAAGUAACUAUGCACGUCUUGACGGUACCUAAUCAGAAAGCCACGGCUAACUACGUGCCAGCAGCCGCGGUAAUACGUAGGUGGCAAGCGUUAUCCGGAAUUAUUGGGCGUAAAGCGCGCGUAGGCGGUUUUUUAAGUCUGAUGUGAAAGCCCACGGCUCAACCGUGGAGGGUCAUUGGAAACUGGAAAACUUGAGUGCAGAAGAGGAAAGUGGAAUUCCAUGUGUAGCGGUGAAAUGCGCAGAGAUAUGGAGGAACACCAGUGGCGAAGCGACUUUCUGGUCUGUAACUGACGCUGAUGUGCGAAAGCGUGGGGAUCAAACAGGAUUAGAUACCCUGGUAGUCCACGCCGUAAACGAUGAGUGCUAAGUGUUGGGGUUUCCGCCCCUUAUGCUGCAGCUAACGCAUUAACACUCCGCCCUGGGGAGUACGACCGCAGGUGAAACUCAAAGAAUUGACG
rnacentral:rRNA from 1 species